rnacentral:tRNA from 1 species
GGGGAUGUGACUCAGUGGUAGAGCAAUUACCUUAGCAUGUGUAAGGCCCUGGGUUCAAACCCCAGCACCACCA